GUAGUCCACGCCCUAAACGAUGAAUACUAGUUGUCGGGAUCCCUAAUAGUCUCGGUAACGCAGCUAACGCAUUAAGUAUUCCGCCUGGGGAUUACGGUCGCAAGAUUAAAACUCAAAGGAAUUGACGGGGGCCCGCACAAGCGGUGGAGCAUGUGGUUUAAUUCGAUGCUACGCGAAAAACCUUACCUGGACUUGACAUGCCACGCUACCCUAAGAAAUUAGGGGUUCUCUUCGGAGACGUGGACACAGGUGCUGCAUGGCUGUCGUCAGCUCGUGUUGUGAGAUGUUGGGUUAAGUCCCGCAACGAGCGCAACCCUCGUCGUUAGUUACCAUCAUUAAGUUGGGCACUCUAACGAGACCGCUAGGCUAUAAGCCAGA
rnacentral:rRNA from 1 species